rnacentral:misc_RNA from 1 species
CCCACUCUUUCUUUCCCUUUUCUCUAUGCUCUAACGGUAAACUCGAAACACAGAGAGAGAGAAAGAGGGAGUGAAGGACAAAACAAACACAAGGUCCCUGCAAUCAUGAAGGCUGUGGUGGCUCUAUUUGUUUUCUCUUUCGGGUUUUUCUUGGCCUCUGUUACGGCUGACCCUGACUUGCUUCAAGAUGUCUGUGUUGCUGAUCUUUCCUCUGCAGUGAAAGUUAAUGGCUUCGCCUGCAAAGAGAAUAUAACAGCAGAUGACUUCUUCUUCGCUGGGCUAGCCAAGCCAGGGCUAACCAACAACACCCUAGGCUCUCUGGUCACUGCAGCCAAUGUUCAGAAAAUCCCAGGCCUUAACACCCUUGGAGUCUCCUUGUCCCGCAUUGACUACGCCCCCGGCGGUCUUAAUCCUCCACACACCCACCCACGAGCCACCGAGAUAGUCUUUGUCC